AUGGAAGUUAGUUAAACAGCAUUAAAAGUUUUGUAAAGUAAGUAAAAACAUUUUAAAAAGUUCUUAGUUUUAAUUUACAGUCCUAAAUGUAGAAGUGGAUAUUUAUAAACGGCUUAACUUUCGACGAUUUUUUAAACUCUCCGACCGAAAACUGUAUAUAGUCAGAACUGGUUUCAGGCGUGAUGUAUAGUAAGUCGGAAAAAUGAUGUUUUCUGUCGAGUCGUUCGAUGAGUGUGAAAUAUUUAAGAGAGUUUUCAUUAAAUCUGCUAUCAACGUGAGUCAGUAUGAGUCAUGUGCAGGGACAAAAUCGUCCGGCGGAUGAUUAGAGGAUAGAAAACUACCUUUUUACUUUCUACCCCUUCGUAAAUGGAGAGUGUAUAGGAAUGAUUUCGUGAGUCAUACCCCCGGUCCCCGAAGAAUUUCUGUUCCGUAUAAAUCAUUAAUUCUACUCCCCCGACAAAUUCCGAUGUUCUCUUCGAUUCUAAACUCUUUUUUGUCUGUCUUUUAAACCUUUAAAAUAACUUCUUUCCGCUGUAUAAAAAUUUACAGAAAGGGAUUUUUUGUGAGCGAAUAAAUUGCAAAAUCAAUGUUUUAUAUAGAUAACAUGAUAGACUUGCGUUCCCAGCAUCCAGGUAACUCAGGUAAAAAAAAAAAAAUGUAUGCUCGAAAUGACUCUCUUCCUUCGUGUUCUGCUUCGUUUUUUUCCUUUCAUUUUUUUUUCCUUUUUCUUUCUGAAAAGUCAUUGGACCAUAUCCUAUUGGAGAGGCGAUUUGAGGGUCGCUCCACCUCUUUCCUGACUCAUAAAACUGGUCAUAGGAAAUAAGUAAGACGUCUGUACCUUAGAAAACACCUCACCUUGUCGUCAUCCGUAGGCGUUUCGACGUCACCAAUUAAAACGGUAACACUCGAACAAACCGGAUGUGACAUCACCCACUAUCUAGUCGUUAGCGUACUUCCGGAAUUUAUUAGCGUACGAUACAUUUACUUACAUAAGUUUUUCUGCAGUUUCGGUUAUGGGGAGUUUCGACAUUAUGACCAUUCAGGUUAGGACAAUGCCCCAAUUAUCUAGUCGAUCAUUUAAGUUGCGUGCUUAACACACGUCUGAACAUAUUGAUUGCUACAUAUACUGCACUCGCUACGAAAGUAAAACAGAUUGGCCACAUCCUUAAUGUGUAGAAGACAACUCAUUUAACUAAUUGAAGAAAAAUCGAAAACUUGACCAUAAAAUAUCAUCCAGUUUUCUAUCCGGGACUGUUUGCUCAACGUGAAAAAAAUACGUACCCGAAGGCGAAUCUGGUGGAAAGGAAAAUAAAAAAAAAAAAUUAAAUAAAAAUCUAUUUUGAUGUAAACGAAUUUUGAAGAAUUGUACGCGGAAUCCCAUUCACCUUAAGUGAAUGCACGGAUUAAAAAAAAUAGUUUAUGUAAUGCUUUUCAGUCGAGUCUGAUAGGUUACUUUUUGUUCGCGGUAGGGAGUUGUAUUCAGUGAUUGUACUAGCAGAGAAAAAGAAGAAAAGAUGGGAGGAGAGAACUACCACAGAUUGUAUGCAGUCUGCCUGUCUGUAAAGUGAUUCUACCUACUACUCGGACCGGGACAGUUCGCUCGCAAAAAAAAAAAGAAAAGAAACUUUCUUACUGUUAUUUGUCAUGCAAGACACUGUUAACGUUGCAAGUCGGUAGAAAGAAAGUCCGAAAAAUCGAUCGGCCAUCGAAAAUCACGUUUCUGUGUUAAAUCUGAAAUAAUUAGCGGCUCUCGGAGUGUUUAGAUUUAUGACUCAUGACCCAUCCAUGCCGCAUGCUGUGUGUAUGUGUGUUGCGUGGUUUGGAGGGCUCGCGAUGACAUGACGCCAGGGAUUUAACUUUGUUUUGAAUUAUUGAUGGAAAUCCUGGAUUUUCUGAGUCAUGCGAUGAACUGGGGUGAUUGGUCCGAAAACUCUCUUACCGACGUCUCGACUGGGUUUCAAAUUAACCCAUGUAAGUAUUUAGAGUGUUUACAUUAUUUUAAACAUUCGGGAAAGCACCUGCGACCGUUUUUCAGAACUUGAAGUGUGUUUAAACCGGUUUAAGCACUUCAAAUCUAACGUAACCAUAAAGAAUCUGGAAUUUUUUUUCUUCUUUCUUUCUUCAGGGGGGAAAUUUUGUUUCCAUCGAAAUCUUUUAUAUAUAAAUUAAAUUUCAAUAGAGAAAUAAUCCAG
rnacentral:lncRNA from 1 species